GAAGAAGCCUCAGACAGCAUAGGAAACAGGAAGGAACCCGAUGUUUUAAAUAGCAGACAGCAGAGAAUUGACCCAUUAUGGUCUCUGAAGUGACGCAUCAAAAGUUCUGCUGAUGUGAGCCCUCACUGUCACAUUCAUACACCACCCUCACCAAGAUGCCCCCAACCCUGCUCCAGACAACAGCUUGGAAAUUCUUGACUGGUCUACAAAGGAGUAUAAGUGGAGUAUAGUGGUACCCACCUCAGUACCCAGGAAGUUGAAGCAGGAGGAUUACAACUUUGAGGCCAAGUAAGAACCAGCUGUACCACUCCUGGGCAUCUAUCUACCUCAAGAUCCAGCUGUACUACUCCUGGGCAUCUAUCUCCCUCAAGAUCCAGCUGUGCCACUCCUGGGCAUCUACCAAAGGACUCUAUAUCAUCCUACAGAGAUACUCGUUCAACUGUGUUCAUUACUGCUCUAUUCAUAAUAACCAGAAACUGAAAACAAUCUACAUGUCCAUCAACUGAUGAAUGGAUAAUAAAAAUGUGGAGGAUUAAAUACCAGCAAACUUCAGAAGCCUUCGUGGGAAGAGUCAACAGAGGCCAGAUGUACCCUAUAACACCUUUCAGACAAGAAGCACUGUUCACUGAAAACACUGGCAUCGGAACCCCCGCCUGAUGCCCAGGAGCACAAACCCCAGCCUUGUGCCUCUCACAGAUGCUCGGGGGGUGAGAAUGGGUACAAUCUUCCCCACUGGUGGUUUGUAGAAGACCCUGAGGGGCUGCAGCUGCACAAGAGCCCCACAGAUCCCGUGGAUUCCAGGAACAAAGGUCUAGGGCAACUGAGAGGCAGAUCCAGAAGGAGCAAUACAGGCUUCAAGAUGCCUCUAGGAAUCCCCCCAAAUGUGUUUCUCAUACACUUGUAGGCGAGCAGUGCCUCCAAGUCCUCUCAGGCAUCCUGUCAUUCACAGGGAGGGAGACUGGGCUCAGACUUUUUUCCAUGUCCCAUGCAUGUCCAAAGCAGAGACUGAAGUGAUUGUGAUUAUCUGUGAUCUACUCUUCCUGUCUUAAGAUCAUAAUAUGCUGAUUCAGAGACAAAGCCAUACCCUCAUUGGUUUGCCAGGACCCAGGAUGGCAUUAGGAAUGCUUAGCUACCAUGGUGUAGGUGCUGACAUCAGAAUAGACAUACAUGCUGAUGGAAUGAGACUACCACUGUGUAGUAGGGAACAUGAGUUCUGAAAGUGGUCACUCACAGGCUCAUGCCCAGAAAACUACACAAAGUGCCAAAGGAUGAGAGAGGCCUUUGUGCGGAUAUAUACUAUAAUAAACUAUUCAACAA
rnacentral:lncRNA from 1 species